ACACAAUGGACGCCACCCGACUGGAACACAACCAGUGAAUUCCUGAGGAGAAAAAGAGCAACAAACAACUUUUUUUUACAGCGUCUGUCUAAAAGCUGGUGCCACCGCUGACGAAACAGACGCCUCCCCCCCUCACGCCACAGAAAGUGCCACCCACCGCCGUCAUACAAAAUGACGGGCGAGCUCCACACCCCGGACAGAGUAAAUUUAAACAGCGCACGCAAAUGAAACAUAGUUUCAAUUUUUAGGAAGGAAAGGUAUCCCUUGCAUCACAAAACGGCAGAAAGGUUAGUGAGCGAUAUCUUCAAACAACAGCCAGACUGUAGAAUGCAGUCUGUGCCUGCUUUGUACAUUUCCACAGAAGGCUCGAAAGCUAAACUUAACUUCAAAGAUGAGAGAAACGUGCUUAAUUAAUCCUUACACAUAGCGUACAAUUUAAGACAGACCACUUGCCAAGCAUCGUGGAGCCUGUAAAUCCUAAGUUUUCCACACACUAAACACCAUCUACACGUUUCGUCCGUACUACAAAUAGAAAAAUAAUUAUAUCUCCGUGCUUGUGUGGGAAUAGGGAAGAUGGAUGCAAAAGCAUUGAAGGAGUCAAGCUGUGUGAAACAGCGGGGAAUUGAGGCUGUGAAGGGGAAGGAGGGAGGACGGGUUCUCCUGAGGCCAGGGUGUGCCUCAUUCCCAGACAAAGCCAGACUUUCCUGGCUCUUGCCUCACGGUGAAAGCAGUCACACCGGUAUGGCUCUUGUUCACACGACUGCCAUUUCCCUGCUCUCAAGUUCAAAUGUCGACCCAGAGGAAGGGAAAGAAAGUGUUUCCAACAAACGAUGCCACUCUAAGUAACUAUGUGCAACUUUUCCAAACAUUCUCUGGGCAGAUUUAGAAAAUAUCUAAGUAACACUCAAGUGUCAGCUUUUCCUUUGAUGUUCAUUGUAGCAGGCCUCUUAAGAUUCAUUGCACAGUCACCAAGAAAAUACAAGAUACAGCUCAGAGAAUUAUCUUAUUUACUUAUAUUUAGCUGUUUAGGAGCACACUUGGGGACAUGUGCAUCACUAUGGAUAAGUGAGUCAGUAACUAUAAAGGGACCAAAUUAAGUGGUUUCAAAAUCCUGGACUGAGAGUCACACGAACCAAUUUACAGUCAGGUACCACACAAACCUUCCCUGCUACGUUUUAGUGGCCUUUCCUCUCAAAGUUUUAUAUGCUGAGCAUAUUUCUACAUUAGAGAAAGCUCAAUAAAAAGCAAACACACAAAAAGAAACACAAACCCAAUGGCCACAGCACAUUUCUGCCUCAGGACAUCUGCUGCUCAUGAACUCUCUCUCCCCCCUGCACGACUUCUGUGCGUGCUUUGUGGCUCUUCAAACCAAAUGCACAAAAAUAAAAGCAUGACUUCUACUCAUGAUUAAAUGCAGCACUUCUUGGGAUAUAUAAAACAGCAAGAAACCACAACAGAGUAUUUUGGAGCAAAUUCUUAUGGCGAAUAGCUACAGAAAGGAGAUAUGUGAAUUAGAAUUGGCAUGAAAAACUAUUUCUCAUGCUUCAGCUGUAAAACAAAUCCAGGAUCUCUCCAGGCAUGAACUCAAUGACCUCUGUGGAGAAAUACCACUCCAGAACACACUGGGAUUGCACUCAGGGGCUUCUCUUUGCCCAAAACAGCAUCCAGCUGUUGUAGAACCCAGCAUGACCCUGCCACCAGUACCCACAACCUGGAUAAGACACACAGUACUUUCCCCACCAAACAUUACCUACUGACUUUAAACCCAGGCUAAGACCAGGAAAGCAUCUGCUCUUUAAGAUGCACAGAAAGCAAAGCAACAUUUUCCACUGUGGUGUUGCACCUGCCAGCAGCUCAUCCUUCCCCAUUACCACCAUCAGGUUAUCAAUGCUGAGAAUUCUCUGUUCUUCACCAAAACAAAGGAUUUCAUUAGGGUAGACAGCAGACAGAGCAACUCACAAGUGUCACAACAUGAGCAGCAGAGAGCUCCUUUUUUUUUGUUUUCCCAAGCAAGACAGACAACUUAUUCCUAAAUCACUUCAAAUUUCUUGGAGUGAAGUUAAGACUGUAUCAUUCCCUCUGGCAGGUAAAUCCCAGAAGUACAAUUAGGCCAGCUCUUAUACUUUUAUGAUGGCACUUGUAAUAUUUAUUGCUGGCAUUUAAAGAUACUCCAGCUCUUGACUCUCUGCACCUGCAUGAAAACUUCAGACUUGUCAAAUAAAGGCAUUUCUGGCCCUUCUGAGUUGUUGCAAUGCUGCACCUGCCCAGCUUCACUCUCCGAGGCAAUUCCUUUCAAUGGCUCCAUUUAAGACAGGUCAUUACAGAAGCUAAUUAUGUUAAGCAGUUAAGAAAGAAGAAAUAAAUCACUGUUUCAAACACAGAAAAAAAUCUGUUGCAAAAGGACUGAGCUUGUUUUCUCGAGCCCUUUGGACCCACCUGCUUUCUGAUCAUAGCUGAUCCCACCUGAGAGCCCAGGAUGUCCUUCCCUCCAGGAAGGGUCAGAGUAGCACAGGCUUUCUCAACUCUUGGCUCCCAUUGAGCUUCUCUCCCCAGGUAAGAGCAGCUGCUUUCUGCUCCUCCCAGCCACUUCCCAAAUGUCUUCUUCCCCCGCCCCUUCCCAUAGGGCCUAAAGCUGGUUCCAGAUGCAGAAAGCCAGGCUGACUGUACAGGUUCUGCCACAGCAACAUUAAAGUCAUUUUGCUCCUUUAUCAUCACCUACCAAACAGACAAUGCCCCAGCACUGCAGUAGCUGCUUUACUGAGACCAGCUCCACAACACAGCCUCUCAGAAAUUCCUGUACAACAAAAGGAGCUCAACCUGGGAAAACCACUUCCAUUGGGGUGCUCCAUUUCUAGGCAGAGUUACCAGAAAUGGCAACAUCUGAGAUUCUGUUCAGGGACUUUAACACUGACCUACAUCAUUUUAUUAACACUAUUCAUAUGUAACAAUCACGUAUCAGUCAACUGUCACAGUAAGAAGUGACAUCUGAAUUCUUACUAAGAAAUAAUAAGACACAGCCCUCAAAGAGGAGGAAAAGAUUGCCAAGGAAAUCUUUCUUCAAUCUUUCCACACUUUUUUCAGUUUUUCAAUCUUACAUUAUGAAAGACAGAGACAACUACAGAGCAGCAUACCAGUCAUUUCUUUCUUCUUUAAUACUUUAACUUAGAAUAAAAAAAGAAGUAAUUUUUACUGUACAUUGCCAUUUCUCCUCUUCCCCAACGCUUUGUUUUUUCUUUCAGGUGGUUCAGAGCCCACUUGCCAUCAGGUAGGAAGUUGAUUUUCUUAUUAGUUCUGCAUACAUAUUGAUGAACAUCACAAGGACCCUGUUAGAUUUUCAAAGUCUGUACCUCACAGUAGAAAACCAAGUAAUUCUCGUGAGCCCCUGGAA